rnacentral:rRNA from 1 species
UACAGGGGGUGCAAACGUUGCUCGGAAUCAUUGGGCGUAAAGCGUGCGCAGGCGGUUUGUUAAGUCCGCUGUGAAAUCCCCGAGCUCAACUUGGGAAUUGCAGUGGAUACUGGCAAGCUGGAGUAUGGUAGAGGAAGGUGGAAUUCCCGGUGUAGCAGUGAAAUGCGUAGAGAUCGGGAGGAACACCAGUGGCGAAGGCGGCCUUCUGGACCAAUACUGACGCUCAUGCACGAAAGCGUGGGGAGCAAACAGG